rfam:Parcubacteria bacterium 32_520 MPJ_scaffold_8766, whole genome shotgun sequence.
GUUGAAGAGAGACAUCCAUUAAAACAAGGAUUGAAAC